rnacentral:rRNA from 1 species
AUGACGUUCGCCGCCUCCGCCUCCGGUGACGUCGUCGCCGCCGCUAACUACGCCGGCUUUGGCCGGACCCUGAUCUACGAUGCCGCCGCCGGCGGCGUCUCCCCCGGGCCGGAGAUGCGCUCCGUCAAGAACUACCUGUUCCUUGUCCCGGUCGGGACCGCACGUUCUUCGCCAUGUCUGCCUACUCACGCCUGGACGUCCCCCAGGGGGGACCCUGGUUCGAGGUUCUGCAGCAGCAACAACAGCAGCUCCUCCCCGGUGGCGGCGGCGGCCGCUGGGCCUGGAGCGCCGUUCCUGACCCGCCCGGCCUCCCUCAUGGCCAGAGGGAGGACCUCCGUGCCUACUUCGUCGCGGGUGCGCGCGUCUGGAUCUCGCUGCGCCUCCAGGCUACCUAUUCCUUCGACACGGCGCGCCAGCGGUGGCGCAAGGAGGGCGCCUGGAUGCUGCCCGUCCUCGGCCGUGGCGUACUGGUGCCGGACUUUCAGGGCAGCGGCCGGCGGCUGCUCUUCGGCAUCCGUUCUACCAGGGAUCACCAAUUCUGCGCCGUCGACAUGGACGCCAGGCUGCCGAUGGUCCUCAGGUCCUGGCCUGAGGCAUUGCCCACCGUCGGGUGGGCCGCCGGAUAUAAAACGUGCUCCUUCCUCCCCCAGGUGA